AGAGAGCAGGUGCGGUCGGUUUCUCAUGCAUGUGAUGCGCAUUGUAUUAAUUUGUAUAUCUUUAUAAUUUUGUCAUCGUUAACAAUGUUGUAAAUGUAACAGUUUCAUGCAAGUUUCAUGUUGAAGCAUCACCUUUGACUGAGAAGAGUGCGUUUGAGAAGACCGCCAUUGGUUGAAUGCAGGCUAAAGUGUUCUACGGUGUUUGGUGUUCUGAAGAGAAAUAAUCAUCAGUGAAUGGAACUGAAGCCUCAUUUGAAAUCAAUGAGCGGUACAGUAGAACACUUUUGCGUCGUGAAGAAGGACUUGGAAGUGAAGAAGGAUCGGGUGCAGACCUACGGAAGGGGAAGGAUCACGUGUGAGCGGUUCGUGUGAUUCCAAGUGGACAAGGCUACACAAGCGAGCACAUGAAGAUUGUGUCUUUAAAGUAGCGCAAGUACUUGUUAAUUGCCAUUAAGUGUGUCAUUAGAACUUUCAAAUGUGUUCUUCUUUAAGCGUAUUCUCUGCACUUCUAAGUAAAUCAGUAAUUCUCCAUUCUAGUUGACGUUCAAAUGUUCCAAGUGCAUAUCUAAGUAUUUUGAUUUGAGUUCUCAGAAUAAUUGUUGUUAUUGAGAAUUGUUUCCACAUUAUUAACCAUUUGCACACUCAUAAUAGAACUGUCAGUGUGAUGUAGUUUUUGAGGUGCACACAAAGGUCAAGUUAAAGUACACAAUAAGAUUUACAUUUAAAUUUCACUCAGAGAAAGCAAUUAAUAACAUGUCAACCAGUUAAGCAUAAUUCAUUUAAUAUGCCACACACAAAGGAAAAUGUUAUCCCGCCAGCUGAAGAGACCACUCAAGGUAAUUGUUCAAGGCAGACUGUCUUCUCACACCAAGUGGAUGUCAAAGUAAGUUGAAACAAGAAGAGAAGUUGAUCAAUCUCAGGUUGGUACAGAUGAUGAAGAAAUGCCUCCUGAAAUUAAGAAAACUGUACGCACACGUAAGCUCACUGAAAAGGGAAUGAGUCUGUUAAAUGGCAAAUGGAGCAAUUUAAAUGAAAGAACUGUGAAAAUGUACAAAAGAUGGAAAUAUAUGAAUGGUUUAAAGUGGUCAAUUAAAGAUAAAUAUGGUGAAGAUCUGAUCGAUGAGGUUAUAAAUUAAAUCAACGCAAUACAGGUUGAGAUUGAUGAAACCUACAUCCAAAUAAGAGACCUUACAAUUCCCGAGCCUGACAUUCGAAGAAUAAAUGACACGUGCCAGGCAUUGUCGAAAACCGCAAACAUAAAUGCUCAACAAUAUCGAAGUGGUGAUGAUAAAGACAUAUUGUGGCCUGAUUCGAAGUCAGUGUUUGACAGCACAGUAUCCAGCAUUUACUAAGCCAAAAAAAGUAAGACUUCUUCCAAAUCAUCUUUCCACUCGUCAGUCUUGUCCCUUAAUCAGGCAUGAAAAUCUCUCACCUUUCGGCGAAAUUCGCCGUUUUGAAGUCAAAAAGGGCGACCUACGUGAAUUGCGUAGAUCCGAGGAGAAAUUCUGUUUGGGGGGGGGGGGGGGGGGGUCGGGUCGGGAGGUUUUAUUAAAUUAUUAUUAUCAUCAUGCGAUUAACUUAGUCCGUAAACUGAUCGGUUCUUAAAAAAAGUGACACGGACAGUCAGCAAAUCCUUCUAGAUGCUUCGCUGACGAGAACCAAUCAUCGGCCCAAGCUGCGGGCCAUUAUUUCAAACGCGCGCACUCCUUACGUGAAACAAGGAGUGCUCGGCGAGCCUUUGGUUGAAUUGCAAAGCAGCGAAAACAAAAAAGCAGGCCUUAUCCACACCGGGCAGACCAGAGCGCAGCAUAUACACUUGCCUGUAUUUGCCAGCAGAUUGAAUUUGGUGAGUAAUGGUUUCAAUCGUUUUCACAUUUUGCGAUAUAAAAAAGUUAAUGCCAUUCGUUGCAGCUUGCGUUGAACACUGCCAGAGCUAGCCAAAUCUCCCAUGAAAAAAAUAGCUCCCGUUAAAUUGGCGUCAAGCUUGUGUAUUUAGCGGUAAUAUAAACGAAGAGAAACACUGUUGAGUCAAAUUAAGCGGCAUGCUCUCGGAUUGAGGGGUCGCCUCGCAUCGCAUCGCUCCCGUCGUCCGCCUUAGACGCGUUAUUUUCGGCUGGGACUUGAGCUGACGGCUGGUGUCGGCACAACACCGGCCCGACGAGUGGUGGGAAUGACUCUUGCUUCUUAAAGCUUUUCAGAAAUACAGGGAUCCCUCGUUUUUCGCAGUUAAUGGGGACCAGAACCCGCCGCAAUAAGUGAAAACCGCGAAGUAGCGCCCCCCAUUUUUUGGGUGUGUGUUCAAUGUAUUUAUUCAGAUUUUACAUUGGAAAAAAGAUACAUAUAUAUGACAUUUUUUUUUCACUUUUUUCACCAAAGUAUCAUUUAUAAAUGGUUUUCAAGCACUUCAAAAUGUAAGAAUUAUGAUAAGUUUUAAACAUGUUACUGCCCCACCGAAUUAUUUUUAAACAAGAAUAAAGUAGUAAGAAAAUGCUUGGCUUUAUUAAAUGCUUCAUACUGAGUCUACUCAAACCCUCUCAGGCUUUGUUAAACGGUGAUUGACACAUGUGCAAGUUUUUCUUUUUAUAUAUAUUUUUUGUUCGAAGCAACUUAUUUGAUUGAAUAAUAAAAACACAAAUGUCCUAGCCAAAAUGUGGUCCAAACGCAAAACAUUACUUCAAUGGAAAAAUUUGUUUCAAUCAAGAAAAAUAGUUUUCAAAUGCUUUUUUUGUCUCAAAUUUAUUUUGCAAUCAAAAACAUUUUUUUUUAAUUGAAGUGACUUUUGGGAUUAAAAGUAUAACUGUAUUUUGAUUGAAGCAACUUUUUGAUAGAAGUAACUUUGUUUUUUGAUUGAAUAAUAAAAACACAAAUCUACCUCCAUCGUUAUUGAGAGAGAAAGAAAUUAAGAAAGCUUUAAAACUAAAAGCCACCGGGGAGUCUGUUUUUUUUUUUUUAUUUUUUUUUUUUUAAAUAUUUAUAUUUCAUUACAUAGACAUGCCUCGUAGGGAAAGGAGAUUAAGGGAUAAAAAAAAGUUGGAUGAGGCUGCUAAAAGCAGCGGAUACCUCAUCAGCUAGGUGAAUAGCAGACCUGGUAAGAACAGGUUUGCAAGGAUAGUCGGGUAUUAAAUACAAUUAUAAACACAUUACAAUGUUAUUUUUCUAUAAGAUUUUAUGUCAUUGCUUUAUUAAUCAUUAGGUGCAAGAGUUGUUAAGUAUGGAUAAUAAUGAAAUAAUAGUUUUGAGAAAACUGCUGUUGGUGGUUUGUUCUCAGAUGAACAAGUUGAGGAAGGAAGUUUUGAUGCAGAGGUUGAAGGAAGAAAAGAGCUAGACUGACUGAGUCACAGCCAGAAAGUGUGGAUGACAGUUUUGAUUUCUAUUCACUGUUGCCCCCUCCCAAUUAAAGUAUGUCACAGUCACAGCCAAUUAUUAUCUAAAGCUGGUUAAAUUUGAAGUUAUGUUGUUUUAAGGUGUAUUAAAUACUUGUUCAUGUGCCCCUUUUGAUCUACGAGCGCCCGCCCCUCCACCGGUCUCUGCAUGGCCCUGCUGAAACACAGUGUGGGUCGACAGAGCUCAAUAUUUUGUUGGGGUGUACAGUGUACUGGAACAUAUUUCCUCCACACCCUUCUCACCUUUUUAACCCCUGACCCAUUUUCAUGCCUGCUUAAUGUAAAACAAGCAGAAGCUAAAGUUGUGGCAACUCUAGAAGUACUAAAAAUAAUGCUCAACAUCAACAAAGAGAAGCAAUUGAAAGACUUGAGCUUGUUGAUCAAAUCGUGGCAGCUGAAAUUGAAGCAGAAAAUGCUAAGAAAAAAGCUAAAUUCAUAGCAGAGAGCGCAAGUAGAAAAUUUAAGCUGGAACAGAAAAGGAGCAAUAGAACGUCUAGAAGAACUUUAAGGACAUGUUGUAGCACAAGCAAGGUUCCAAGUUUAUUCAGAAGCUCUCAAUCAACCAACUACACUUAACCCUUUAAGUCAGGGGUCCCCAAACUUUUUCCUGUGAGGGCCACAUAACUUUUCCCUUAUCUGAUGAGGGGCCGGGGUCAGUUUGUAACAGAAAAACAGUGACGAUUGCAGGAGUGCCUAAAUGUAAAAAAAUUGUUUUUCAGAAAGCCACAAUCAAAUAACCCUUUCUAGAUUCUUCACGGAACAAAUGUAAAUAAAAAAAAUAUAUAUAUAUAAAUAAUAAAAAUAACACUAUUAAUUAGAUAACAACCAAAUAACCCUCUCUGAGUUCUUCACAGAAAAAGGCAAGGAAAUAACACUAUUAAGGAAAAAAAAAAAUCGCGCUCUGGUAUUGUUCAGGGGGCCGGACCAAAUGUGGAGGCGGGCCGUAGUUUGGGGACCCUUGCUUUAAGUGAACCAUUUUUCCCAUCUCAUCAAGCACAAGUCUCCAUAGUUUCUGAGGAACAAGCCAAGUCUGGUCAAGUACAGCAUCAACAUGAUGUAAAACCCAUCAGAAAUGCUGUUCCAAAUGUAUUCAUCCAGACCUCUCCUUCUGUUCCACCAGUAAGCAGCCAAGUUCCUACUACUCAAGCACCAGUCCCUCUCAAUGCUUCUAAUGAUCUCGUAAGAACUAUUACUGAAGCAAUUACAGCUAAUCGAGUUCCAAUUCCAGAACCUGAGAUCUUUACAGGUGAUCAUCUUAAGUAAAAUGACUGGAAGUUGUCCUUUUGCACUUUGAUCGAUCGCAAGAAUCUUCCAACUCAAGAAAAGCUGUUCUAUUUACGGAAAUAUGUUGGUGGCACAGCCAAAAGAGAAAUAGAUGGCCACUUUAUAGUAGGGACAGAAAGUGCUUAUUGUGCUGCUUGAAAUGUACUUGAAGAAAGAUUCGGUAACCCAUUUGUAGUUGCCAAAUCAUAUCGUGACAAGAUAUAUGCAUGGCAUAAAAUUGGCCAUAAGGACAUUGACAAUCUGCGUGAUUUCCUGAGCAGUGUGGAGUCUGCAAUGCCAUACAUUCAAGGUCUACAAAUACUGAACAAUUGUGUGGAAAAUCAAAAGAUUACUGUCAAACUCCCAGAUUGGUUGAGCUAACGUUGGAACAGAGAAGUAACAAUCUAUCAAGAUCAAAACUGCAUGUUCCCUGAUUUUAAAUUCUUCGUAAGAUUCCUCAGCACAGAAACUCGAAUAGAAUGUAACCCUAUCACAUCGUUACAUGCACUGAAGCUGGCUGAACAAGAAAGAUCAAACCCAACAGAACGGGAACAGUCCAAGUUUCAAGUCAGAAGGUCAGUGUUAAGACUUUUACCACAAACACAAGUGAAAAGACAAGCCUUGCAUGUCUAUUUUGCAAGAAAAAGGGUCACACUCUUCAUAGGUGUCACAAAAUUAUGGAAAACUGUUGAAGAAAGAGUAAAGUUUAUUCAACUGGAAAUAUUGUUUCAGGUGCCUAAAAUCUGGACAUAACUCCAAGGUUUGCAAAUCCAGGAGGGUGUGCGAAUAAUGUGGAAAAGGACAUCCCACAUGUCUCCAUCGAGAUCGUGCAAAGAAAGAUCAAGAGCAAAGUUUAAAUAACAAACAAGAAAACAUAACUGAGAGCCAAGCAGACAAUCACCAACAGUUGGAAAACGAAGAAACACAGCAAGUGACUUCGAACAGAGUUAUUCAAGAAAUGAACAGUACUCUUACCUCAUCUAUUGUUCCUGUCUGUUUCCACGAUAGCAGAACCUGAAAGGGAACUUCUAAUGUAUGCCUUACUUGAUAGUCAGAGCGACACAACCUUCAUUCUUGAAGAUGCAGCAGAAACAUUGUGCGCCAACAAAACACCAGUCGAACUUAAAGUGUCAACCAUAACAUCAAAAACAAAGGUUGUGAAAAGUCAAAGAGUGCAAGGACUACAAGUAAGAGGCAUCAACAGUGAAACUAAAACUUCCAAAAACAUGUACCAGAGACUACAUACCAGCAAACAGGUCCCAUGUACUCACAAGCUCAACUGCAAAGUCAUGGCCUCACUUAAAGCAUUUAGUAGCAGAAAUGUCUCCUGAGCUUGACUGUGAAGUGGGAUUGUUAAUUGGCUAUGACUGUCCCGCAAGCCUUACUUCCUAGAAAGGUUAUAAUGGGCAACAAAAAACAACCAUAUGCCCAAGGGUCUGUGUUUGGUUGGAGCAUUAUUGGCAAAGCAACACCGACAUUGACUACCACCACGAAGAUGGAAAUGGCGUGAGUCAUCAUAUCAUCAGGAGAAAUGUGCUACCAGCUACCAAGUCCUCAUCAGCGAUCAAGACAGAGGUCCAGUUUGUUUGUCGAACCCAAGUCAAAGAAGUGAUCACACCGUCAGAUAUACUCAAGGUUUUUGAGUCAGAUUUGACUGAGAAGUUCAGUGAAGAAAUUUGCAUAUCACAAGAAGACAUUACAUUCUUGAAGAAGCUAAAUGAUGGCAUCAAGCAAAAGCGGAGUGGACAUUACGAAAUGCCAUUGCCUUUUAAAGAACUUAGACCAUCUCUGCCGAACAACAAAGUGUGUGCUGAACAUUGACUCAGAUGUCUUGAGAAACGUCUUAAGAAAGAUGAUCACUAUCGCAGUGAUUAUGUUGCCUUUAUGGACGACAUAAUUGCUAGAGGAGAUGCUGAAAAGGUUCCAGAGUCUCAGAUAAACAACCAGUCCUUAUGGUAUGUCCCUCACCAUGGUGUUUAUCACCCUCAUAAACCAGGAAAGGUUCGAGUGGUAUUUGACUGUUCAGCUAAAUUCCAGAAUACAUCCUUUAAACGAGCAUCUACUUACUGGGCCUGACCUAACGAACACCCUUGUAGGAGUCUUGCUUCGCUUUCGCAAAGGACAAGUAGCUAUCAUGUGUGAUGUGGAGCGAAUGUUCCAUCAGUUCCACGUUGCACCAAAGGACCAAGACUACCUCCGAUUUCUGUGGUGGGAAAAAGGAAAUAUGGAAAUUCCACCUUCAGUGUUCCGAAUGAAGGUUCACUUAUUUGGCGCUGCUUCGUCACCAGGAUGCGCAAACUUUGGGCUCAAGCACCUAGCUGCAGAAGGAACAGGCAAGUUUAGCGACGCUACCGUAAAGUUCAUUCAGCGCAAUUUUGAUGUUGAUGAUGGAUUGAUAAGUUUGGACAGUGAAGAAGAAGCUAUACAGCUUGUUAGAGAGGCAAGGGAGCUCUGCAGUGCUGGUAAGCUCCACCUACACAAAUUCAUCACCAAUAACAAGAAAGUGCUUGCCACAAUCCCUAAGCAGGAACGUGCUGAAGGUGUAGCGGACCUAGACUUGGCCUUGUGAAAACACAAGAUGGCGCGAGCUCUCUGGGUCCAAUGGUGCAUCAGUUAAGAUAAGUUUCAAUUUAAAGUGAGAAUAAAAACCCAUCCCUUUACAAGAAAAGGAGUAUUGUCAACAGAGGCUUCAAUUUUUUAUCCCCUUGGAUUCGUAGCGCCCGUCAUUUUGAAAGGCAAACAAAUUCUACAAAGAAUGUGCCAAGAGAAGUUAGGAUGGGAUGAGCCCAUUUCUGAAGAACUCAGGCUGCAGUGGGAAGCAUUGCUGCAAGACAUCCAUGAUUUGUCUUUCGUGGGGAUACCACAGCACUACAUACCACUGAAUGCCAAGGAGGUUCACAAGUAUGAACUUCAUCAUUUUUCCGACGCCAGCACCUCAGGCUAUGGUAUUUGUUCUUACCUCAGAGCUGUGUCAGAGUCUGGAAAAGUUAAUUGUGUGCUUGUCAUGGCAAAGGCACGGGUUGCGCCAACUAAGAUAACGACAAUUCCAAGGCUGGAACUUUUAGCUACACUGUUGGCCACAAGGAUAAGUGAUCUGCUAAAAAGUGAAAUAGAGAUUGAAGAUGGACAGAAUUACUUUUGGACUGAUUCCAAGGUUGUUCUUGGAUACAUGAAUGACGACGAAAAACGAUUUCAUUUAUUCGUAGCCAAUCGAAUACAAAAGAUCAAAUGAAUCACCACACCAAGUCAAUGGCAAUAUGUUGCUUCAGAAGAUAAUCCUGCAGACUGUGCCUCUCACGGACUUACCACAAAGGAGCUUGUGAAAUCCAACUGGUUCACAGGACCUAGUUUUUUGUGGCACAAGAACCUUCCUACAAGCGAAGACAUGACGGUGGGAGAGCUAGACCAAGAUGACCCAGAAAUUAAAAGAGCAAAUGUACACACAACAAAAACAAAGGAAGAAAGAUCUCUGUUAGAUCGACUUCAAAAAUUUUCAGAUUGGAAGAGAACUGUACAGGCCAUUGCAAGACUUAAACGUUUGGCAAAAGAACUGGCAGGUCUUAAAACAAGAUCCAACGAAACUACAACAAUAUAAGAAAGAAAAGAUGUUGAACAACUCAUAAUCAAGAUGGUUCAAGAAGAAAUGUUUAGGGAUGAAAUCAAAUCUCUAAAACAAGCUAAAGACCUACAAAAGAAUAAGUCCUUUGAGCUGUACAAGUUGAAUCCAUUUAUGGAUAACCAAGGUAUCCUCAGGGUGGGAGGAAGAUUGACGCAGUCAACACUCCAUCCACACGUCAGACACCCAGCUAUUCUCCCUAGGGGGACAUCACGCAAGUCGAUUGUUGAUAAAGUACCACCAUGAGAAGAUUCGACAUCAGGGUCGUGGGAUGACAAUCAAUGCACUACGCUCCAAUGGUAUUUGGAUCAUAGGGUGUAGUCGUGAAGUGUCAUCAUCCAUCUUCAAGUGCAUCAAAUGCAGAAAAUUCAGAAAGUGCAAUCAGGGACAAAAAAUGGCAGACCUUCCACUCGAGAGGAUGGAAGCAACCCCUCCAUUAACCUACAGUGGAAUGGACUGCUUUGGACCAUUUUCUGUCAAAGAUGGCAGAAAAGAAGUAAAAAAUAUGGGCUUUUAUUCACUUGCAUGUGCUCAAGAGCUGUUCACAUUGAGGUAUUAGAUGAUCUUACCUCUGAUGCUUUCCUCAACGCACUGCGCUGCUUUAUUGCCGUAAGGGGCAGUGUAAGUCAACUGCGGAGUGACCAAGGCACGAACUUUGUAGGAGCACGCAACGAAUUCCAAGUACUAAUGAAAGGAUUAGAGCAAGAACAUUUGAAAAGGCUAGGAUGCGAUUUCGUCCUGAACCCACCUGCUUCCAGUCAUAUGGGCGGCGUUUGGGAGAGACAAAUCCGCACUGUGAGAAGUGUUCACACUUCUGUUCUAGACCAAUCUGCUGGAAGAUUAGACAGCUCUUCAUUGAGGACUUUCCUAUAUGAAGUCAUGGCUAUUGUUAAUAGUCGACGCUUGUCCACAGAACAUCUCAAUGACCCGUUAGGACCAGAACCCCUAACGCCCAACCAUAUCUUGACAAUGAAAUCUUCAAUCAUUGCUCUGCCACCUGGAGCGAAGAUCUCCAAAAACGAUGGAAACGAGUUCAAUUCCUGUCCAAUUUAUUUUGGACCAGGUGGCGGAAAGAGUAUUUGCUGAAUCUGCAACGAAGAAGCAAAUGGAACAAAACCAGGAGAAAUACCAAAGUAAAUGACAUUGUCGUGUUGCAAGAUGAUGGACCAAGAAAUCAGUGGAAAUUGGCAAGAGUAGUUGAAGUUCUCCAAGGAGCUGAUGGAAAGGUCAGAAAACUCACUAUUACUCAAAGAUGCAAUACAUGACAGUCAAUGUAGUUUCAAAACAAAGCCAAUUUACAUUGAAAGGCCCAUCCACAAGACAGUUCUAUUACUUGAGGCUGAUUAAGUAGAUCCACAGUUUAUUUGACAACUUGGCUCUAUGUACCUAUGUUAAAGUUUUCACUGUCUGUUGAUAAUACACUAUAAAUGUUCAAGUUAAUCACAGCGUUCUGUGAUGGUGGGAGUGUAGCUGCAGGCAUCUGCAUUCAUGUUGAAUACGUCAUGCUUUUAUUUUGACACGUUAACCGGAAGUGCGCACGCUACGACGCUAACCGGAAGCUUUACAUUUUUGGAGAGAAAGAGAGCAGGUGCGGUCGGUUUCUCAUGCAUGUGAUGCGCAUUGUAUAUCCUUAUAAUUUUGUCAUCGUUAACAAUGUUGUAAAUGUAACAGUUUCAUGCAAGUUUCAUGUUGAAGCAUCACAUUUGACUGAGAAGAGUGCGUUUGAGAAGACCGCCAUUGGUUGAAUGCAGGCUAAAGUGAUCAGUGCAACUUUGUAUUGUAUUUUGCCAUUAGCGUCUUUGCUGCAAUGCUAGCGUUGUACAAAUUGAAUAUAUGUUUGUUUUUAUUUAGUUCUACGGUGUUUGGUGUUCUGAAGAGCAAUAAACAUCAGUGAAUGGAA